rnacentral:misc_RNA from 1 species
GAAAUGCGAUACGUAGUGUGAAUUGCAGAAUUCAGUGAAUCAUCAAACCUUUGAACGCACCUUGCGCCUGAGGCUAUACCUCAGGCAUGCCUGUUUGAGUGUCGUUUUAAAAAUAUACUCACACAAAAACCCCCUUGAAAAAGGGGAAAUGGGUGGACAUGAGCGUUGGGAGCCCGCUCACAUCGCUUGAAAUGCAGUGGAGAAUGGGGGGUGCUUUACUGUAACCUUGUUGAACACGGCUCCAAUUGGUGUCUUAGUGUGCCUAGCACAUUCCAGCAUCAAAUAGGCUGAUGGACCAGGGUUCAUUCGGGCUGCCUUCAGACCCACACUGGUGCCGGCCUCAUGACCGGCAUUUUAAACCCUCUUAAACCUGCGACCUCAAAUCAGGCAGAGCUACCCG